UACGUAGGGUGCGAGCGUUAAUCGGAAUUACUGGCGUAAAGGCGUGCGCAGGCGGUCCGCAAAGUCUGAUGUGAAAGCCCCGGGCUACAACCCGUGGGAACUGGACAUUGGAAACUAACGGGCUCGAGUGUGGCAGAGGGGGUGGAAUUCCGCGGUGUAGCAGUGAAAUGCGUAGAGAUGCGGAGGAACACCGAUGGCGAAGGCAGCCCCCUGGGCUAACCACGUGACGCUCGAGGCACGAAAGCGUGGG
rnacentral:rRNA from 1 species